rnacentral:rRNA from 1 species
CCUACGGGGGGCAGCAGUGGGGAAUAUUGGGCAAUGGGCGCAAGCCUGACCCAGCAACGCCGCGUGAAGGAAGAAGGCUUUCGGGUUGUAAACUUCUUUUGUCAGGGAAGAGUAGCAGACUGUACCUGACGAAUCAGCCACGGCUAACUACGUGCCAGCAGCCGCGGUAAUACGUAGGUGGCAAGCGUUGUCCGGAUUUACUGGGUGUAAAGGGCGUGUAGCCGGGUUGACAAGUCAGAUGUGAAAUCCUGCGGCUUAACCGCAGAACUGCAUUUGAAACUGUUGAUCUUGAGUACUGGAGAGGCAGACGGAAUUCCUAGUGUAGCGGUGAAAUGCGUAGAUAUUAGGAGGAACACCAGUGGCGAAGGCGGUCUGCUGGACAGCAACUGACGGUGAGGCGCGAAAGCGUGGGGAGCAAACAGGAUUAGAUACCCCUGUAGUC